CCAGAUUAGUCUCUCCGUACGGCGCGCUUUGUGAUUCGUGCACAGGCGUUCGACUUGCAGCGAGUUCGUGAUUCCCCUUCUGUCGAUCUCUAUCUCAUCCUGCGAUUUUUUCUCUCGCACCUCAUCCUCUGGCUAGGCUCCUUCCGAUGGUUGGGGAACGGCAGGGCGGUGGUGCCGGAGAUUGCUGCGCGACGGCAGGGCGCGGCAGCGCAAAAGGGAGCAGGGAGGCGGCACCGUAGGAGAGCACGGCAGCUGCGGCGGCGGAGCAAGCGAGCGUUGGUGUCGAGGAAGCAUGGCGGCGGCGCAAAAUGGAGCGCGGCGUCGGAAAGGCACGCGUUGGUGCCGGGGAAGCAGGGGCGGCGGGCGCGUGCUCACCGCCUGCCCGACCACCAUGGACGACACACACCACCGCGGGAUCAGGGAGCGAGCUGCAGCAGUGGGCAGCCGGGCAGUCCUCCAGGCAGCUGGGUGCUCGCGGCCACCGGCGGCCCGCCGAAGAUGCCAAGCUCUGCGAGUUUGUCGCCCUCUACGAGCCCCUGAACUGGAACCUCAUCGCUGAGAAGCUGGACGAGAGAUCCACAAAAUGUCUCUCUAUUGAUCGGCAAUAAGGGUUACAUUCUCAGUGAUGAGAGAUACAAUGCAACCAGAGAGGAAUCAUACCAACAAUUACAAGGUUGAUACUUAGCUACGCGUCCAUGGAUCUUUGUGUGGGCCAGCAAGGAAGAGCUGCAGGCUUCGGUGGUUCAAUAAGCUGGACGCGCACCGCUUCUACGGGAACAAGUGGCUCAUGGGCGGUGAUAGCGGUGGCGCCGGAUAGGACGCGGGCUGACUCGAUAUCUCGUCUCGAUAUCGUUUUGUUAUGUCGUGUUGUUUGUUUUGUUUUUUUCAUGCGGUCCGUGUUACGUGUCCAUGGAUCUUUAUCUGCUUAAUACUUAGUUGCCAUCUCCAUGUUGAUUGCGAUA